rnacentral:rRNA from 1 species
AUCCUACGGGAGGCAGCAGUGGGGAAUAUUGCACAAUGGGGGAAACCCUGAUGCAGCAACGCCGCGUGAAGGAAGACGGUUUUCGGAUUGUAAACUUCUGUUCUUAGUGAAGAAGAAUGACGGUAGCUAAGGAGCAAGCCACGGCUAACUACGUACCAGCAGCCGCGGUAAUACGUAGGGGGCGAGCGUUAUCCGGAUUUACUGGGUGUAAAGGGAGCGUAGACGGUUCUGCAAGUCUGAAGUGAAAGCCCGUGGCUUAACCGCGGAACGGCUUUGGAAACUGUGGAACUGGAGUGCUGGAGAGG